AUUGAACGCUGGCGGCAUGCCUUACACAUGCAAGUCGAACGGUAACAGGUCUUCGGAUGCUGACGAGUGGCGAACGGGUGGGUAAUGCAUCGGAACAUGCCCAGUUGUGGGGGAUAACUGCUCGAAAGAGCAGCUAAUACCGCAUACGACCUGAGGGUGAAAGCGGGGGAUCGCAAGACCUCGCGCAAUUGGAGCGGCCGAUGUCAGAUUAGGUAGUUGGUGGGGUAAAGGCCUACCAAGCCGACGAUCUGUAGUUGGUCUGAGAGGACGACCAGCCACACUGGGACUGAGACACGGCCCAGACUCCUACGGGAGGCAGCAGUGGGGAAUUUUGGACAAUGGGCGCAAGCCGGAUCCAGCAAUGCCGCGUGCAGGAAGAAGGCCUUCGGGUUGUAAACUGCUUUUGUCAGGGAAGAAAUCCUCUGGGUUAAUACCCCGGGGGGAUGACGGUACCUGAAGAAUAAGCACCGGCUAACUACGUGCCAGCAGCCGCCGUAAGAC
rnacentral:rRNA from 1 species